UGGAUAAAUGGUCAAACCUCAUCAUCGGUCAUAUGCUAGAUUCGAUUAGCUCAAGUCCAAUUAUGAUGCUCAUGAAAAUUCUUUUCCAUCAAUCACAUUGCUAUGCUUAUAGACUUUCAGACUUAGCCUAUCGAAUCUCAUAGGACUACUCUCUAUCAAGAUCGAUAGAUUCUAUCUAGAUGUGCAUCCUACUCCUACAGUAGACUAACUAUCACCAACAUCUACUAC
rnacentral:lncRNA from 1 species